rnacentral:rRNA from 1 species
GAAAUUAGAGAGAUGCCUGGGUGUUAUCGGGAACUGUGAGACAGGUGCUGCAUGGCUGUCGUCAGCUCGUGUGUGAAAUGUCGGCGUUAAGUCCCGCAACGAGCGCAACCCUUAUCCUUUGUUGCCAGCGGUUNGGCCGGGAACUCAAACGGACGACUGCCAGUGAUAAACUGGCAGCGAAGGUGGGGAUGACGUCAACGUCAUCAUGGCCCUUACGACCAGGGCUACACACGUGCUACAACUGGCAUAUACAAAGAGAAGCGACCUCGCGAGAGCAAGCGGACCUCAUAAAGUAUGUCGUAGUCCGGAUUGGAGUCUGCAACCUCGACUCCAUGAAGUCGGAAUCGCUAGUAAUCGUAGAUCAGAAUGCUACGGUGAAUACGUUCCCGGG